AACGAACGCUGGCGGCAUGCCUAACACAUGCAAGUCGAACGAGACCUUCGGGUCUAGUGGCGCACGGGUGCGUAACGCGUGGGAACCUGCCCUUAGGUUCGGAAUAACUCCCCGAAAGGGGUGCUAAUCCCGGAUAAUGUCUUCGGACCAAAGAUUUAUCGCCUUUGGAUGGGCCCGCGUUGGAUUAGCUAGUUGGUAGGGUAAAAGCCUACCAAGGCGACGAUCCAUAGCUGGUCUGAGAGGAUGAUCAGCCACACUGGGACUGAGACACGGCCCAGACUCCUACGGGAGGCAGCAGUGGGGAAUAUUGGACGAUGGGCGAAAGCCUGAUCCAGCAAUGCCGCGUGAGUGAUGAAGGCCUUAGGGUUGUAAAGCUCUUUUACCCGGGAUGAGAAUGACAGUACCGGGAGAAUAAGCGCCGGCUAACUCCGUG
rnacentral:rRNA from 1 species